AUACGUAGGGUGCAAGCGUUAAUCGGAAUUACUGGGCGUAAAGCGUGCGCAGGCGGUUUUGUAAGACAGUGGUGAAAUCCCCGGGCUCAACCUGGGAACUGCCAUUGUGACUGCAAGGCUGGAGUGCGGCAGAGGGGGAUGGAAUUCCGGGGGUAGCAGUGAAAUGCGUAGAUAUGCGGAGGAACACCGAUGGCGAAGGCAAUCCCCUGGGCCUGCACUGACGCUCAUGCACGAAAGCGUGGGGAGCAAACAGGAUUAGAUACCCUGGUAGUCCACGCCCUAAACGAUGUCAACUGGUUGUUGGGGAUUUAUUUUCUCAGUAACGAAGCUAACGCGUGAAGUUGACCGCCUGGGGAGUACGGCCGCAAGGUUAAAACUCAAAUGAAUUGGCGGGG
rnacentral:rRNA from 1 species